AUGGGGAGCCUCAGUCUCCCCCUUCUUCCUUUCUCCUCUCCCUCCCCAACCCCACACCGGACUUCCUUCCCCCUCCCCUCCACCCGCGGCUGCCGGAGCCCCCAAGCCCGGGUUACACUUCAUGCAGAGUAGUUGAAGAAAAGAGGACAAUGCCUUUUCGCUAAAAGCAUCCUUAAACAACAACAACAACAAACUCAGAAAGGAUACUUCUGACAAGCACAACAUUUGGAGGAGUCUGGAGAGAAGAAGUUGGAAAAAUGAGAUACCCGGGAAGGCGUACUUCAGAGAAAUUUUGAAAGGGACAAAUAGUAGCUACAAAGAGAACCUGCACCCUGCAUACAUUCCAUUUGCUUUCUCAAAAGAAAUGGUGAAGGUCAACAUUUUGUCCCAAAAAAAUUUUUUAAUUUAAAAAUUCUUGGUUUGUAUAGUUACAGAAGUACUGUAUGCUCAUCAA
ensembl:lncRNA